GGGGAACUCGGUCUGCCUGUCCACUCCGCUGGCCCAGACAGGAGGCUGAGCUGGGGCAUCCUAACGGUGCUAAUGAGGGGGUCCUAUGGAUCCAGACAGCGCCUGGGGCUGGCAGGAGGCCCAGGGGAGAGGCUGGAGGGCAGGGUGGGGCCACAAGCCAGCUUGGACGUGUGCUGAGUGCCGGGAGCUGGCUAAGGGCCAGGAGCUGUGGGGAGACUGCAGCAGAGCGGCGUCUCAGAAGCCCUGGGGAGGAAGACGGUGAGGGCGCAAGGCCCCUAGGAGGCUGCCAGCCCUCCAAGCCUCAGGCUCCUUCCCACGGGGAGUCUCCACCUCCCUUUGCCAGGGGACACCGGUCCCUUGGCUGUUCCUUCCUGGAGUUUUAUCCUGAAGGGGCUGCUCAGUCCUGUUGUAGAAGGUUCCAUUUGCCACAGCACCAAUGCAGAGGAGACCCCCAAGGGAUGAGCCAGCCCUUUGGACAGCUGGGUCCCCACCCCUGACAAUAAGUCCAAGCUGCCGUCCUCUCUCACCCUGACCACUGCUACAGCCUCCAGAUUUCGCCAUCCAAACUGGCUCUGACUGUCUCCAGCCGCUCCUCACACAGCAGCCACAGCCGUCUUUCUUGGAGUGACAUCUGAUUACAUCAUUCUCCUGCUUAACAGCCUCCAAGGACCUUGGCGAAACAGUGGGAGGUUAGGAGAAUCAGGACCAUCCUCCCUGGAGAACACAGACCAAUGACUCAGGCGCGUGGGCAGAGCUCAUCCAGUGGGUGAGGACCUCCACCAUCCUCAGCAGGAGUUUGUGGUCAACAGCCACCACUCCAGAAAAAUGUUAAAAAAGAGAAGGAGAGAGAGAGAGAUGACAUUUUAAAAAGAUGGAAAUGUUAAAUUUAGAAAUUAAAAACUUAAUAAUUGAAGUAAACCCUCAAUGGAUGCAUAUAAUAGCAGAUUAAACAUAGCUGAAGAGAGAGUCAGUGAACUAGAUGAAUGCAGCAAAGAGAGAAAAGGAGAUGGGGAAUAGAAAAG
rnacentral:lncRNA from 1 species